GCCCUCCAUUGCCAAACCUGAAGCACCCUGUCCCGAGCAGGAAAGACAAGGAAAAAGUGUUUGCUUAAGAUCUGCCAACCUGCUCAGUGGGUGAGAGGUAACUGUCUUUCCACCAACCUGUUCCAGGCCUGGAAUGGCACGCUGGAACUUCCAGAGGCUUGUAGACCUGAAGCAGUGUGAUGUGGCCCAGAUAAUUAUCAAACACACGUUUACUGAAUCACUCACUCUGUUUUGUUGUGUAAUUAUUUUAACUUAAGAAAAUUGUUCCUCUCUUUUAGAUCUGACACCCCUAUUAGCUCAACCACAGUCUUCACAGCUGCAGUUUGCCCCUGUAUCUGCUACACCGGUCACGACAGGUGAUACAGAUAUGCCACCCCCAGCAGAUCAGCUGCAGUCACAGCAGUCCUCUACUGUGGUAUUUAGUUUACCGGCUGCACCAGUUCCUACUACACUGGCCGUGAAGGGAGAAACUUUUGAGGAUACCCAGACGGAUACAGAUCUGCCAUUCACUCCACCACUGGCUGACAGCCUCACCCAGAAGUGCAUACACUGGGCCUAUCAAGACUGACAAGCAGAGAUGGGUGGCUGACAAGGAAAAAUAAAACAACAUGUACUCACACACAUUAUCC